rnacentral:rRNA from 1 species
CCUACGGGUGGCAGCAGUGAGGAAUAUUGGUCAAUGGGCGUAAGCCUGAACCAGCCAAGUCGCGUGAGGGAUGAAGGUUCUAUGGAUCGUAAACCUCUUUUAUAAGGGAAUAAAGUGUGGGACGUGUCCUAUUUUGUAUGUACCUUAUGAAUAAGGAUCGGCUAACUCCGUGCCAGCAGCCGCGGUAAUACGGAGGAUCCGAGCGUUAUCCGGAUUUAUUGGGUUUAAAGGGUGCGUAGGCGGCCUUUUAAGUCAGCGGUAAAAGUCCGGGGCUCAACCCAGGAAUGCCGGUGAAAAUGGGGGGCUUGAGUAUGUUUGAGGCAGGCGGAAUGCGUGGUGUAGCGGUGAAAUGCUUAGAUAUCGCGCAGAACCCCGAUUGCGAAGGCAGCCUGCCAGGCCAUGACUGACGCUGAUGCACGAAAGCGUGGGGAUCGAACAGGAUUAGAUACCCCUGUAGUC